AUUGAACGCUGGCGGCAGGCCUAACACAUGCAAGUCGAACGGUAACAGGAAGCAGCUUGCUGCUUCGCUGACGAGUGGCGGACGGGUGAGUAAUGUCUGGGAAACUGCCUGAUGGAGGGGGAUAACUACUGGAAACGGUAGCUAAUACCGCAUAAUGUCGCAAGACCAAAGAGGGGGACCUUCGGGCCUCUUGCCAUCGGAUGUGCCCAGAUGGGAUUAGCUUGUUGGUGGGGUAACGGCUCACCAAGGCGACGAUCCCUAGCUGGUCUGAGAGGAUGACCAGCCACACUGGAACUGAGACACGGUCCAGACUCCUACGGGAGGCAGCAGUGGGGAAUAUUGCACAAUGGGCGCAAGCCUGAUGCAGCCAUGCCGCGUGUAUGAAGAAGGCCUUCGGGUUGUAAAGUACUUUCAGCGGGGAGGAAGGGGGUAAAGUUAAUACCUUUGCUCAUUGACGUUACCCGCAGAAGAAGCACCGGCUAACUCCGUGCCAGCCGCCGCGGUAA
rnacentral:rRNA from 1 species